GCCUGGGUGGCUCAGUUGGUUAAGCAUCCGACUUCAACUCAGGUCAUGAUCUCAUGGUCCGUGAGUUCGAGCCCCACGUCAGGCU
rnacentral:tRNA from 1 species